UACGGGGGGGGCAAGCGUUGUUCGGAAUUACUGGGCGUAAAGGGCGCGUAGGCGGCUUUUCAAGUCGGGCGUGAAAUCUCCGGGCUUAACCUGGAAGGGUCGUUCGAUACUGUCGAGCUAGAGUGUGGAAGAGGCUACUGGAAUUCCGUGUGUAGUGGUGAAAUGCGUAGAUAUACGGAGGAACACCAGCGGCGAAGGCGGGUAGCUGGGCCAACACUGACGCUGAUGCGCGAAAGCCAGGGGAGCAAACGGG
rnacentral:rRNA from 1 species